GAGAUUGUAAAACAUUAAUGUUUGUCCAAGUAAGUCCAAGCUCAGCAGACUUAGGAGAGACCAUGUGUUCACUGAAUUUUGCCACUCGUGUCCGUGGAAUUGAGAGUGGCCCGGCUCGCAAACAAGUAGACCUCGGUGAGCUGUUCAAGUACAAGCAAAUGGUAAGCUAAAGUAUAAUUGUGCUUUCAAUAAGAAUAACCAUGUUUUUCUUUAACUAUUACUAAAACUCACAAGUUUUUGUCAUAAUAAAAGGCAGAAAAGGCCAAACAUGACGAAAAGGAAACAAGGAAAUUGCAGGAUAGCCUACAAACUUUACAACUCAGACUUGCUGCGAGAGAAUACCAUUGUAAAAGCCUUCAGGAAAAGGUAUAAAUGCAAAUUUAAAGGUUUCGUUUUGCUUCCCAUAAAUGAAACUGUUAUGUUUACCUUCAUAUUCACAUAUGUAUCAUACUCAUCAACUCUGAAAUAAUUUUGACAGGUACGGGACCUGGAGAAUCAAAUAGCAGAAGAAAGAAAAACUAGACUAAAGCAAGAAAGUAGAUCACUUGCUGCUGUUUCAUCUCAACAACCUCCAU
rnacentral:lncRNA from 1 species